UCCCCCCUUUUUUUCAGAUACCUGUACAGAGCGAGCGAGCUGGGGCCAAAGAGAGAGAGGGAAAGAGAGAUGGAGAGAGUAUGAAUGACAUACCGAACGGGGGGGGGUGCUGCAUUGACACAUAAAACCAGUGUUGCUCAGCUGGAGGAGCGGUGCUGGAGGACUAUUGCUGCAGCUAAUGGAGAAGCUAGUGUGUGGUGCAAGGGACAAGGAGAGCUCCCUCCUCAGGGACAGCCAGUCACCUGCAAUCAGCACGCCUGCCCACUAGUCAAGCAAGCUCCUCUUCACUUCAUAAACCCAGCUCCACCAGCCAGCCUCCGCCGGAUCAUUGUCAUUCAUGGAUGAACCUACCUGCUGCUACAUCUCAUCCAGCCCACCAGUCAGCUCUCUGGCUGCCCGCCUGCCAGCCCCCCAUUCCUGAACCUCGCUUUCCCCUCACCACCACCACCGCCACCACCAGCCUGCAAUAUCAAAAACUCUUGUAAUAAAAUACUUACGUUUCAGAAACCCUGCCAUUGAGUAUGCCCACUAGAGCCCUUCUUCUAGCUCAGGGCUCAGCAACCUUUACUAUCAAAAGAGCCAUCUUAGGC